UUUUUGAGAGCAGUGCAUUCUCCACUUAUAAUACAUGUGAUAAUUUUAAGCGAUAUAUCCUGUCACGAUAUCGGAAUGCAAACAUAAUGCACUGGAUAUAAAUAAAAAGAAAACAACAAAAUACAAAAUAUGAUGCUUCUCCGUUUUGUUUCCGCUAUAUAUAAGUAAAACCUAAUCACGAAUGAACUAUUAUACUUCAGAAUUUUGCUGAUUGGACGUACUGGACAUGGCAUAAGUUCCACUGGUAAAACAAUCGUAGGGGAUAAUGUGUUUGAAGUUUCUGAGUCAUCAAAAUCGAAGACAAAGACAUGCAAAUGGUCAAAUAAGUACAUGCGAUUUGGAAAAGUAGUAGAAGUAGUGGACACUCCGGGAUUUUUUGACACGGAUUCCAAUCACACUGCCGUACACAAGGAACUGCUGACAGCUCUAGUUCUGGCCACUCCUUGAUUCCAUGUCAUCGCAUUUGUUCUGAUGAGAGGUCGAUUUACAGAGGAAAUACAGAAAACACAAGAUCUAUUUUUUCAGUGGUUUGGUCGUGGUGUAGAAAAGUUUGCAUGCGUUAUACUUACCGAUACGAGUAGUGAAGAUGCAAAACGUAAGUAUAUAUAUGACGAUCCACAUGAUAAGCUUGCAGAAUUGGUGAGAACUUGCAAUGACAAUGUUGUACCUUUGAACAAUGUCGCUUCUGAUGAAAUAAAAGACAGGCAGAUAAGACGACUUUUCGAGGUGGUUGAAAAUAUUAAACAAACGAAUUGUAAUCAACAUUUUUCUAAUGUUGCGUUCCAACUCGCAGAGGCAAAUAUAAUAAACAAAUGUCCAAGUGAGCUGACCCAGGAAUCAAUUAUGAUUUUACAAAACUCUGGAUUACGUAUGAAAAUAUCAGACGACAAGUGCAAAUAUUUAGAUAGAGUUUUUACAGUAGAAACUGAAGACGAAAGUACAAAUGAAGAAGAUCAAUACAAUGUAGGUUUAGCCGUGAAUAUGCAAGACAAAAUACAAUCAACACCCGCAAGUAUAGUUGUUGUCAAUGAAUAAAGUGAUAUAUGUGGAAGUGGAAGCGUUGGAAAUCUCCCAAUAUUUGACAGCAGCUCGAACACACAGGCAAGUCAGCAGCAUUUGAGACAAGAAGUAGCAACUUCAAACUCAAAGAAUCCUCCAUCAUCCGAAACACAAACUUCGGAAAAACACUCUUUUUCCAAGACUUUUGAGGUACCUGGGAGUUUUGAUAAUCAGUCGAACAGCAAUAUAUCUCAGGAUUUUGUACAUGCCAAACAAUAUCAAAACCAAAGUGGAGAUUAUUCAGAUAAAAUGCAAGCCUCUGCAUCUGACCAAUCAGAAGAACAGAUUCACCGCGGUAAGCGCGAGGCAAGUUCUAGACGAAACCGUAAAAUAGACAUCGAAAGUGUACACUAUGAGACACCUAGGCAGCCAAUAGAUGAUUUUAAAGAUAAGAUUAACAAAGGUGAAAAUGGAGAUGAAGCAUUGCAUGGAUUAUCGGCAUUUUUUAAGAAAGCUUGGAAUUUCUGUAGGCACAAGCUUAGCAGCUGCACUUUGCUGUAAAGUUACAAGGACAUUGUACGGUUACUGUAAUACUUUGUCAUGCUCAUCUCUCGUUGAAAUGAAUUAGGAACAUAAAGCUCGGUUUUAUCAAACAAAUGAAAAAUGUAAAAUGGCAUACAAUGAGUUUACGACACCAGAGGCCAUAAAUUAGGCACCUGUGUGUGUAUGAUGUUAUUUCAAGUUUUGUACCAUGUAUACUAAUAAUUAUGAGGAAAUAGUGAUAAAUCUGUCAAAAAAGCCAAUUGUAUUGAUAAAUGUUUUAAAGUUUUGUAAUACUUCUAUAUAUGAUAAGUAAUGUCUUUCAAAUAAUGUAAUACAUACACAAAUGUUUGAGGCUUGAAACGAAUAAAUUUUAUAAAGCAUUA